ACAAGAGCUUGGUGGUGAAACCUGCACGAACAGCCAAGAAGAAAAGCGAUCCUCGCUGCAGCUAAAGAACACCGCCGGCUCGGACUUCUAUCGGGCUAAAUCUGGUGUCAACAAACUGGCCGACUCUUAAAGGACCUGGCCGAAGGAACCUUUCCCGAUGACCUCCAGAACCUCAAACCUGUAGGCGAUGUGGUCGUGCAGCACCUGGAGGACGACAGGAGGAACAGCGUCAGCGUCUGGACGGCCUCCUGGUCAUUCUCUGGAGUCUCCAGGCGGAUGUGUUCAUGUUUCUCUGGGAUUGAUCCAGAGUGUUUAGGACAGGCUCCAGCAACCGGUCAGGUUUGGAAAAUCUAUCAUUAAGUUUAUAAAGUGAUAUAAAUGGACUAAAAUAAAAAUAACACACUAAUCUCACAGUCGAUCAUACCCAGCAUCCUCCACGGUUACAGAGCUAUCUGUCCUCAGCUUUGGUCUAAUUUAGAGCCGACUCCUGAUCCAACAGUUUGUCUUCGGCAGCCUUCAAGCACUGACACACGUGUUAAUGCGGGGGGUUU